CCGAGUUUUCAACUCCCAAACCCCUGUGAACCUUACCUAUCGUUGCCUCGGCGGACCGCCCCGGUGCCUCGUCGCCCGGACCCAGGCGCCCGCCGGAGGACCCCCAAACUCUGUUUCUAUAAUGUUUCUUCUGAGUAAACAAGCAAAUAAAUUA
rnacentral:misc_RNA from 1 species